AUUGAACGCUGGCGGAAUGCUUUACACAUGCAAGUCGAACGGCAGCACGGGGGCAACCCUGGUGGCGAGUGGCGAACGGGUGAGUAAUACAUCGGAACGUGCCCAAUCGCGGGGAUAACGUAGCGAAAGCUACGCUAAUACCGCAUACGAUCUACGGAUGAAAGCGGGGGAUCGCAAGACCUCGCGCGAAUGGAGCGGCCGAUGGCAGAUUAGGUAGUUGGUGGGGUAAAGGCUCACCAAGCCGACGAUCUGUAGCUGGUCUGAGAGGACGACCAGCCACACUGGGACUGAGACACGGCCCAGACUCCUACGGGAGGCAGCAGUGGGGAAUUUUGGACAAUGGGCGCAAGCCUGAUCCAGCCAUUCCGCGUGCAGGAUGAAGGCCU
rnacentral:rRNA from 1 species